ACCUUGCUGUCGGGGUCCUGCGCCAGGCACGCGUCCAGGACGGCGUCCGAGACCUGGUCGCACAGCUUGUCUGGGUGCCCCUCGUUCACGGACUCGGAGGUGAAGAGGAACGUCUCCAUCGCCAUUUCUGAUGAAGAAGCUACACGUCCUGUUGUUGGGGCAGGCAAGAGAGGGGAUAGAAUGGAAUGUAUGCACGGUUGAUCUAAGGCUAGAGUUGGGUCAUUUAUAGCAGCGGAGGCCGUGCGUAGGUUAAGUUGCUGGUGGGAUCGCGGGACUGAACAACCAUGGAUUGUUGUUGCCGCUGAGCCAAAGCGGCCCCGUCCUCACCAACCCAAAACCCAUGUUGCGGUGGGCCACGUCACCUACCAUCUACUGCUUAAUUCCCCUUUCUUCUUCUUCUCCACUUGCCUAUGUGAGGUGUUUCAUACGCUCGCAUGGUAGGCGUGGUUACACUCUCAGACUAAACAAAGGGUAGAAAACAAAAAGGCUGAUGAGCUGUUUCAAUUCGGACGAAACUGCACAAACUACAAAAGUGUUUCUGAGUGGCCAUGCUGGCAUGGACUGAUGGCGAUUGAAAAUACUCGGAGAUUUUUUUUGUUUGGCUCCCUGCCAGCCUAUUUCACCGCGUCAAGUGUGGUUGGUGGAGCUAGCACUGAUGACUGGUGGGUGGAUUUUUUUUUUAAUAUUCUUCGCUAAUUAUAAGCAACUCAAAAAGUCAGAAAUAUUCCUCUAUAUUAUGGGAUUGGGCCACCCAUAUUUAGCCCCACACUUGUGGAUGCUCCCACAUACGACUAUACGGAUAUAUGCAGCAAGCCGAUGCUCUGAGGUUAUUUGUAAAACUGCUGGUAUGUGGCCAUGUAGGGGUCAAUUAAUCUGUCAAUAGUUUCUUCAAGUUUUUUCAUUUCUGAAAUCAAUACAACCUUUGUUUAACUCGGGGAUAACGGUUUCGUUUUCAAUUAGGAGGAGAGCAAGAUAGAUUCUUCAAGUUGGUACCAAGAGCACCAAAUCUUUUUUUGUUUAAAAUUAUAUUUUUCAGUGCAUUCAUUUGAAAUAAAAUUGUGCCUAAUAGAUGUUACUCCAGUAUGUUUGUUUAUAAAAUUGGUCAAACUCUAAAAAGUUAGGCGGUCAACAAAUUUUAUACAUUUUGUUUGUGGAAGUAAAAAAUGGAUUGUCUCUUCAAGGUCCAAAGCGUUGCCGCGCGCAGGAUGCAGCGUGGUUAUCGCCUUGCUGGCUGACAUGUUCCUGAACACCAUCGCUACAUGUCCUGCAUAAUAAUUCAGGCAUCUAUGAGAGGAUGAGCAACCGAACUUGGAGUGAACAGCAUGCUUCAUGCAGAGACAUGGAGCAUGCUUCAAACCAUGCCGCUUUGAGUAAUCCGGCUGACGUGUAGCUGCAGGCAGAGUUAAGCAUGCUUCAUGUAGCUUUGAGUACCUACCGUACCGAUCCAUCCAUACCUUUUAGGCUUUUACAGUUAUAAGCAAGAAUAGUUGAUUCAUGUUGCUUCAUAAAGAAUAGUUGGUUCCUAGUCUCAAAAAAAGAAAAGAAUAGUUGGUUAAUGGAAUAAGAUAUUGGUCUUAGUGCGGUAUCUAGCAGGUGCAAGGCCGGAGCUUGAUUGAUUGUCCUCCUUUGGUUUUCUCGGUAAUAAUCAAUGUUCACGGCCGGGACCUAAACUUUGGGCGAAGAACACACUUCAGUUUACUCACUCUGUUCCGAAAUAGACAUAACAAGAUCUCUGCUCCAGAAUACAAAUAUUAUGAAACAUACAGUAAAAAAUAUCAAUAUCUACAAUAUCAAAUCAUGAUCAUAAGAUCUUAUAAUAAAAUAGUUUGAUAUAUUUAGGAAGUUUAACAGUGAACAUCAAAAGUUACACAUCUUGCAUUUUGGAAGAGAGGGUAUGAAAUUGUUUUCAGAACUAGGUUCAGGGUUGCCAGCAUAAUACAGGAGAACACAGAAAAUUUUAAUAGAAUGCAAGUGUGAAACAAAGGGAUGCAACCGUAACACGUUUAGAUAAAACACAUGAAAAGUGUAGCGAUGAAAUGAGAACGAAAAAGAUGUAAGAGUGGGUGCUGAAAUUGAUGCAUAAGAAACUAACCCAUAAUGGCCUCUUUGAUUAGCAGGAUUUUCAAAACACAUGAAUAGAUAAACAUAGGAAUUUUAGUUUGAGUGGACGUAAUUUUUAUUACUAGCAGAAACGAAUUAUAUGGAAAAAUUCAUACGGUUUGCAGGUGAAUCAAAUGAGUUACAUAGCAAAAAUUCCUAAGUAUUAGAAUUCUCCAGAAAUUAUUCAAAAAUCCUUUGAAUUGAAAGGCUCUUAGAAUUUUGUAGCACUAAUUGUGUUGAUUCAGAUGACAUUUGUCCCGUGGAUUAGGUUCCUUUGGUUUCAAGGAUUGAAGUUGGAGGAAAGAAUAUUCCUAUUGAAUGGGCACCAUGAAUGCAUUGAAACAAAGGAAUGGAUCCUAGGAAAUUUGAGUCGAAGGCAGGAAUUUAAAAAUGCAGGAAUAAAAGAAACGAAAUCACUAUGCGUACGACACUUCCGUGUCCGAAAUUGGUACGACACAACGAUGGAUGGUUGUAGCCAGCUCGGCUGAUGCGAUGGAUGGCUAGUACUGAUUGUCGUAUGAAAAUCGUACGCAUGAUGUCGUACGUGUAGCAGUGUCGUAAAAGGAAAAACUCAUGCUUACAAUGUUAUAUCCAUUUAAUUUUACAGGAUUAAAUUAGCACCUAAGCAUGUUUAAUUACAACAAAGAAAUUUUGUGUAAAGGUUCAUGAAAGUUCUGCUAUGAAAUGCGUGGCAGAGAAUGCUUACAAAAAGUUCGCAAAAAGUUUAGGUAAUGUUCCAGAUAUAAUUCCAAGUACUCCUACGAUAUUUUUCCCUUAAGAUUCUAUUCUUUUCAUUUCUUUAUAAAACUUUUUCCGAAGAUUUCUAUUUACAAUUUUUUUUACAUGAAACUGCUACCAUCAUGAAUCUCCGAUAUCAGGAAUAUUCCCCAUUUUGCACCGAAAGCAGAAAAGACUUGUCCCCAAAAUGAUUAAACCAGAUUCGAUGCUCCUAGAGAGAAGCUCAUACCAAUUACUAGCCACAGGAGGCCACCUUUCGUCAUGCCACAAGAUAGCAGAGUAGGCUGUUGUUAAGGCACAAGGAAGUUACAUUUUCUUGUUGGUUUGCUGAGCCAAGUGUUUCCUCAGUAAGUUCUACAGUUUAUUUAUAUUAAAACGCCAACGGAAGUUUUUGUCAAUCAAUUACACUAUAUAAAAGAAAAGUGCGCUCCAAGGUCCAAGCAAAUUCAAGCUGACCAAGCAUAAAACUUCAGAAUUAGGUGCUUAAAGUAUUUGGAACUGAGAAUAACAGGGUACGAAUAUCACAUAUGGUAUUACUGAUGCAGUUUCAGCAUACUAAAAAAUAACAGGACGACUGAUAGAGCAAACUGCACAGCUAUUGCAGUUUUAGACUCGAAAACGAAGGAAAACCACAAAAGAUAACAAAAGACCCGACUAGUAUAAACUCAGCACGUAACUCUGUCUGCCACACCAAAAUACCACUCACUAGACGCCAAUGCAGCGUGUCCGCGGCGAUAUCAAACCCCUUCUUCCUUCUAAAGAGCAGCAACUCAUUAAUCAGAGAUACAUCCAGCAGCAGUGAAACUCACUUCCAGCAGCAGUACCAGUCCUUAAGCAGAGGCCUUGUCAAACUUGAGGGGCUUCACCACCUCCCAGGUGAAGUCAGCAUCAUCACGGCCAAAGUGACCGUAGGCAGCGGUCUUGAUGAACCUGUUGCCACCCUUCUUCAAGUCAAGGUUGAUGCUGAUCAUACCAGGCCUGAAGUCAAAGUUCUCCUUCACGAUCUUCAGAAUCUCCUUGUCAGGGAUGGUGCCGGUGCCGUAGGAGUCGACGAAGACAGACAAAGGCUCAGGGACACCAAUGGCAUAGGAGAUCUGCACAAUGCAGCGGCGUGCAAGACCACUGGCAAUGAUGCUUUUGGCGGCCUGCCUGGCAAUGUAGGCACCACUGCGGUCAACCUUGGUUGGGUCCUUGCCAGAGAAGGCACCACCACCGUGGGCUCCCCAGCCACCGUAGGUGUCGAUGAUGAUCUUGCGGCCGGUGAGACCAGCAUCACCGUGAGGGCCACCGAUGACAAAGCGGCCUGACGGGUUCAGGUGGAAGAUGGUCUUCUCGUCCAGGUACUUCUCAGGGAUCACAGGCUUGAUGACAUGCUCCUUGAGGUCAGCAGCAAUCUCAUCGUUGGUGACGGUUUCAUCAUGCUGGGUGGAGAUGAGGACGGUGUGCACACGGACAGGGACCAUGGCACCACCCUCAUUCAGGUACUCAACAGUGACCUGGGUCUUGCCAUCAGGCCUGAGCCACGCACAGGUGCCGUUCUUGCGGACUUCAGUGAGGCGGGCACCGAGCUUGGUGGCAAGCACGUGGCUGAGGGGCAUGAGCUCAGGGGUCUCGUCAGUGGCAUAGCCAAACAUGAUGCCCUGGUCACCGGCACCAAUGUCCUCAGGGCGCUUGGUGAAGUGACCAUGCACACCCUGGGCGAUGUCAGGUGACUGCUGCUCAAUGUUGACGAGCACCUUGCAGCGGUCAGCAUCAAGACCAACAUCAUCAGAGAUGAAGCCGAUGUUGCGGCAGGUGUCACGAACGAUCUUCUCAUAGUCAACAGUGGCCUUGGUGGUGAUCUCACCGAAAACCAUGACCAUGUUGGUCUUGGUGCAUGUCUCGCAGGCGACCUUGCUGUCGGCGUCCUGUGCCAGGCAGGCGUCAAGCACGGCGUCAGAGACCUGGUCGCAGAGCUUGUCAGGGUGGCCCUCGUUCACGGACUCGGAGGUGAAGAGGAACGUCUCGGCCGCCAUUUCUUGCUUGGUGGAGAUACCCUUAUCUACCUCUGCGGAUUCAAACACGACGACCAUAUUAGAAAUUUAGAAUCAAAGCACAACGGCGAAUGGCUAGAACUAGCAUGUUUUGGCUGACUGUAACGACGAAAUACCAGAUCUGAGGAAUAAUAUUUGUUUUUUCAUUCGUAACGAAGACUACUGUCAAUUCCAAACAGACAUGUCCACAGAAAUUUCAAUCUGUCGACCGUACUAAUUAGCAUAUUAAGAAAAACUAGUACAGAGAUCUGAAAGUGGAUCGCACGACCGUCAACUAAUUUGCAAAUUAAAAUAAAUAGAACAAAGAUCUACGAGUGUCCCGUACGACCGUCAACUAGUACUGAUUUGCAAAUAUAAAAAGCCGUAUCAGAUCAGCAGUUGGCGAGAUCCAUAUGAAGAACACCAUGGGGAGAGACGCAAUUUCUCGGCCACUACCCACGGGUAACUUCCUAUCCCCGCGAAUUUCUAAACCGUCCCUAAAUUUCAGAACCAAAUUUCUUAAGUUAUCAACUACUAAUAACAACAAAAGCAAGAAUAUUCCCAACUUUUCCUUUCCUCUAAUGAGGAGUCGAAACAAAACAAAAACAAAGCGCGCUGAGACCAGAUCUACACGGAAGAAUCACCCGCUUCCAAUCGCGAAAGCAAGAGUCCCUCGCACGUGAAAACUAUCGAAUCCAACAGGAAGAGAGAGAGAUCUAGCAGACGAGAGACGGCAAACGAAGUACCGGGCGGGAAGGAGGAAGAGCUC
rnacentral:lncRNA from 1 species